rnacentral:rRNA from 1 species
UACGUAGGGACCAGGCGUUGUCCGGAUUUAUUGGGCGUAAAGAGCUCGUAGGCGGCCCUCCACGUCGGAUGUGAAAGCUCAGGGCUCAACCCUGGGAUGCCAUUCGAUACGGGAAGGCUAGAGGUAGGUAGGGGAAAGUGGAAUUCCUGGUGUAGCGGUGAAAUGCGCAGAUAUCAGGAGGAACACCGGUGGCGAAGGCGGUUCUCUGGGCAUGUCCUGACGCUGAGGAGCGAAAGUGUGGGGAGCGAACAGG